UGUUAUUUUGGCAGAAUAGUGUAAUAGAUUUAGAAUCUAUCUAAGUAAAUUUUAUUUACAUAUAACA
rnacentral:tRNA from 1 species